rnacentral:lncRNA from 1 species
UGAACCAAAGGGUCUUCUGGGUAAAAAACAGGGCCAUUUCUGCUUUCUGCGCAGGUGUAACCGGUUACCCUAAUUAGGGUAAUCGGUUACACAGUGCCAAAAUGGCCAAAAAUUCAGUUUUUGGUCUGAUAACCGGUUACCCAAUUUUUUAUUUUUUUUUUUAAAUUUUUUUUUUUAUUUUUUUUAAAUAAUGAAUGUAUGCAUGUGGAGUUGGGUCAUGG